rnacentral:rRNA from 1 species
GGUUAAGCGACUAAGCGUACACGGUGGAUGCCCUGGCAGUCAGAGGCGAUGAAGGACGUGCUAAUCUGCGAUAAGCGUCGGUAAGGUGAUAUGAACCGUUAUAACCGGCGAUUUCCGAAUGGGGAAACCCAGUGUGUUUCGACACACUAUCAUUAACUGAAUCCAUAGGUUAAUGAGGCGAACCGGGGAACUGAAACAUCUAAGUACCCCGAGGAAAAGAAAUCAACCGAGAUUCCCCCAGUAGCGGCGAGCGAACGGGGAGGAGCCCAGAGCCUGAAUCAGUGUGUGUGUUAGUGGAAGCGUCUGGAAAGGCGCGCGAUACAGGGUGACAGCCCCGUACACAAAAAUGCACAUACUGUGAGCUCGAUGAGUAGGGCGGGACACGUGGUAUCCUGUCUGAAUAUGGGGGACCAUCCUCCAAGGCUAAAUACUCCUGACUGACCGAUAGUGAACCAGUACCGUGAGGGAAAGGCGAAAAGAACCCCGGCGAGGGGAGUGAAAAAGAACCUGAAACCGUGUACGUACAAGCAGUGGGAGCCUCUUUAUGGGGUGACUGCGUACCUUUUGUAUAAUGGGUCAGCGACUUAUAUUCUGUAGCAAGGUUAACCGAAUAGGGGAGCCGAAGGGAAACCGAGUCUUAACUGGGCGUUAAGUUGCAGGGUAUAGACCCGAAACCCGGUGAUCUAGCCAUGGGCAGGUUGAAGGUUGGGUAACACUAACUGGAGGACCGAACCGACUAAUGUUGAAAAAUUAGCGGAUGACUUGUGGCUGGGGGUGAAAGGCCAAUCAAACCGGGAGAUAGCUGGUUCUCCCCGAAAGCUAUUUAGGUAGCGCCUCGUGAAUUCAUCUCCGGGGUAGAGCACUGUUUCGGCAAGGGGUCAUCCCGACUUACCAACCCGAUGCAAACUGCGAAUACCGGAGAAUGUUAUCACGGGAGACACACGGCGGGUGCUAACGUCCGUCGUGAAGAGGGAAACAACCCAGACCGCCAGCUAAGGUCCCAAAGUCAUGGUUAAGUGGGAAACGAUGUGGGAAGGCCCAGACAGCCAGGAUGUUGGCUUAGAAGCAGCCAUCAUUUAAAGAAAGCGUAAUAGCUCACUGGUCGAGUCGGCCUGCGCGGAAGAUGUAACGGGGCUAAACCAUGCACCGAAGCUGCGGCAGCGACACUAUGUGUUGUUGGGUAGGGAGCGUUCUGUAAGCCUGUGAAGGUGUACUGUGAGGUAUGCUGGAGGUAUCAGAAGUGCGAAUGCUGACAUAAGUAACGAUAAAGCGGGUGAAAAGCCCGCUCGCCGGAAGACCAAGGGUUCCUGUCCAACGUUAAUCGGGGCAGGGUGAGUCGACCCCUAAGGCGAGGCCGAAAGGCGUAGUCGAUGGGAAACAGGUUAAUAUUCCUGUACUUGGUGUUACUGCGAAGGGGGACGGAGAAGGCUAUGUUGGCCGGGCGACGGUUGUCCCGGUUUAAGCGUGUAGGCUGGUUUUCCAGGCAAAUCCGGAAAAUCAAGGCUGAGGCGUGAUGACGAGGCACUACGGUGCUGAAGCAACAAAUGCCCUGCUUCCAGGAAAAGCCUCUAAGCAUCAGGUAACAUCAAAUCGUACCCCAAACCGACACAGGUGGUCAGGUAGAGAAUACCAAGGCGCUUGAGAGAACUCGGGUGAAGGAACUAGGCAAAAUGGUGCCGUAACUUCGGGAGAAGGCACGCUGAUAUGUAGGUGAAGUCCCUCGCGGAUGGAGCUGAAAUCAGUCGAAGAUACCAGCUGGCUGCAACUGUUUAUUAAAAACACAGCACUGUGCAAACACGAAAGUGGACGUAUACGGUGUGACGCCUGCCCGGUGCCGGAAGGUUAAUUGAUGGGGUCAGCGCAAGCGAAGCUCUUGAUCGAAGCCCCGGUAAACGGCGGCCGUAACUAUAACGGUCCUAAGGUAGCGAAAUUCCUUGUCGGGUAAGUUCCGACCUGCACGAAUGGCGUAAUGAUGGCCAGGCUGUCUCCACCCGAGACUCAGUGAAAUUGAACUCGCUGUGAAGAUGCAGUGUACCCGCGGCAAGACGGAAAGACCCCGUGAACCUUUACUAUAGCUUGACACUGAACAUUGAGCCUUGAUGUGUAGGAUAGGUGGGAGGCUUAGAAGUGUGGACGCCAGUCUGCAUGGAGCCGACCUUGAAAUACCACCCUUUAAUGUUUGAUGUUCUAACGUUGACCCGUAAUCCGGGUUGCGGACAGUGUCUGGUGGGUAGUUUGACUGGGGCGGUCUCCUCCUAAAGAGUAACGGAGGAGCACGAAGGUUGGCUAAUCCUGGUCGGACAUCAGGAGGUUAGUGCAAUGGCAUAAGCCAGCUUGACUGCGAGCGUGACGGCGCGAGCAGGUGCGAAAGCAGGUCAUAGUGAUCCGGUGGUUCUGAAUGGAAGGGCCAUCGCUCAACGGAUAAAAGGUACUCCGGGGAUAACAGGCUGAUACCGCCCAAGAGUUCAUAUCGACGGCGGUGUUUGGCACCUCGAUGUCGGCUCAUCACAUCCUGGGGCUGAAGUAGGUCCCAAGGGUAUGGCUGUUCGCCAUUUAAAGUGGUACGCGAGCUGGGUUUAGAACGUCGUGAGACAGUUCGGUCCCUAUCUGCCGUGGGCGCUGGAGAACUGAGGGGGCUGCUCCUAGUACGAGAGGACCGGAGUGGACGCAUCACUGGUGUUCGGGUUGUCAUGCCAAUGGCACUGCCCGGUAGCUAAAUGCGGAAGAGAUAAGUGCUGAAAGCAUCUAAGCACGAAACUUGCCCCGAGAUGAGUUCUCCCUGAGACUAUAAGUCUCCUGAAGGAACGUUGAAGACGACGACGUUGAUAGGCCGGGUGUGUAAGCGCAGCGAUGCGUUGAGCUAACCGGUACUAAUGAACCGUGAGGCUUAACCUU